UUCCAGUAGGUGGAGGGAAUGCAUCUUUUGAGUUGGUCUGCCAACCGCCGUUAAACUCCAGAAGAAGAAGAAGAACGGGGAGUAGUAGUUUUCAUCACAGCUCUGAGUCUUCUGAGGGUUUUGCAUGGCCCUAAAUAAGGUGGAGGUGGUAAAAUCCUCCUCAUGUGCACACACGCAAGGUACUGCAUUUCUACUGGCUGAAGAAAACUCAUUUUACAAGCACGUAUUUGAGAUCUGCUCGAACCAACCACACAGGAGUUCAGCUCCUCCCACAAUAGUUUAUGAAAGAAAAUCAAAAACAUGACUGAUCCAGAACCCUGCGGAAUAAAACAGGAAGACACUGAACAACAAAUAGACCUGAAAGAAGAGAACAAGGAGAUUGAAGGACUGACUGAAGUGGAAGAGAAACAUCAUGUAAAAACUGAAGAAGCAUGCUGGAGUCCCUCAUUGAAAAUAAGAGACGAAAUGU